rnacentral:rRNA from 1 species
AACGAACGCUGGCGGCAGGCUUAACACAUGCAAGUCGAACGCACUCUUCGGAGUGAGUGGCAGACGGGUGAGUAACGCGUGGGAAUCUACCCAUCCCUACGGGAUAGCUCCGGGAAACUGGAAUUAAUACUGUAUACGUCCUUCGGGAGAAAGAUUUAUCGGGGAUGGAUGAGCCCGCGUUGGAUUAGCUAGUUGGUGGGGUAAAGGCCUACCAAGGCGACGAUCCAUAGCUGGUCUAAGAGGAUGAUCAGCCACAUUGGGACUGAGACACGGCCCAAACUCCUACGGGAGGCAGCAGUGGGGAAUAUUGGACAAUGGGCGCAAGCCUGAUCCAGCCAUGCCGCGUGCAGGAAGACGGCCUUCUGGGUUGUAAACUGCUUUUGCCAGGGGAUAAAAAGCCCAUGCGUGGGAAAUUGAAGGUACCUGGUGAAUAAGCCACGGCUAACUACGUGCCAG